AAUGAGCUCCGAUGUAUAGAGAGG
rnacentral:siRNA from 1 species